GACGAACGCUGGCGGCGUGGAUUAGGCAUGCAAGUCGAACGGUAUCAUCCUUUCGGGGGUGAGAGAGUGGCGAACUGGUGAGUAACACGUAGGUUAUCUACCCUCAAGACGGGGACAACCCAGGGAAACUUGGGCUAAUACCGGAUGUGAGCAACUUUUAGUUGUUUGAAAGGUGGCGUAAGCUGUCGCUUGGGGAUGAGCCUGCGUCCUAUUAGUUAGUUGGUGAGGUAACGGCUCACCUAGGCAAUGAUAGGUAGGCGGCCUUAACGGGUGGUCGCCCACACUGGGAUUGAGAUACGGCCCAGACUCCUACGGGAGGCAGCAGUCGAGAAUAGUCUACAAUGGUCGGAAGACUGAUAGUGCGACGCUGCGUGAACGAUGAAUCCCUUCGGGGUGUAAAGUUCUUUUAUAUGUGAGCAGUGCUUCUUAUAUUAACAGUAUGGGGAGAGAGAUAUUAGCAUAUGAAUAAGCAACGGCUAACUCCGUGCCAGCAGCCGCGGUAA
rnacentral:rRNA from 1 species